AUUGAACGCUGGCGGCAGGCUUAACACAUGCACGUCGAGCGAAGUGGCGAACGGGUGAGUACUACGUGGGUAACCUGCCCUCCUUUUUGGGAUAAGCCUUGGAAACGGGGUCUAAUACCGAAUACAGGGGGAUGGGCUCGCGGCCUGUCAGCUUGUUGGUGGGGUGUGGGCCUACCACUGCGGUGACGUGUAGCCGUCCUGAGAGGGUGACCGGCCACAGUGGGACUGGGAUACGGCCCAGACUCCUACGGGAGGCAGCGGUGGGGGAUAUUGCACAAUGGGCGGAAGCCUGAUGCAGCGACGCCGCGUGGGGGAUGAAGGCUUUCGGGUUGUAAACCUCUGACGCUAACGAACGGGUAGGUGGAGAAGAAGCGCCGGCUAACUACGUGCCAGCCGCCGCGGUAAUAC
rnacentral:rRNA from 1 species